CGUUUCCAAUGGGUAUCAUCCUGUUCUAAUUUUUUUUCACUUUUUACCAUUUUCAAAGGCUUCGGCACUGGCCUAUUGUUCUUGACGAAAAUGACUACUUCUAUUUAGUCAAUUAGAUUUUUUUCGAAAAAUUACGUUGGCCAAACCGUCAAGACAUACGUAUUUCCACGAUUGCAAAUAUUUGCACACUCGCAAAUCAUACUGAUAAAAUGUAGAGGUUUACUUAAACUUCCUCAAGUUAGUCAGCAUGUCUGUGCGUUUGUGCCUGUGUUAUAUUUUUAUUGCCACAUUUGCGAUUCACGGAAAUGAAAACGUGUUUAGUUCGGUGGCUGCCGAUGACAAAAUUAAUGCAAGUCGUUGCAAAGGUUCCGAUACUAGCGUUGGCGAGCUGAGUUGCCACAAAAACCCACAAAAUCUAGCAACGUGCGACCUCACUCAAGAUCGGGACACAAAAAGCGGCUUUGUGUUAUGUGCCGGAGAAAACGGAUGGGAAGAGAAACAGGACUAUCUGUCAAACAUAAACGACGAACUAUGGAAAGAUUUGCCAAUUUUCGAAAAUGAGCUGGACGUAAGUGGCUUGGAAUUAAACGCGAUGUACCUUCUCUUUGUAUGCAGUCAGGGUGAUUUUACGUUGGAUGACAUCGUCGUGAUAAGUAGCCACCCCGAUAAGUUAUCCGACGAUCUACUAAUUGAAUGCAAAAACUGGAACGACUAUACGCUACAGAGGUUGGAUGGUGAAUUUCGAAUACGAGAUGGCAAAAGUAGGGUCAAAUAUCUACCUGUGGCUAGUCAUGACAAACCACACCUUUCAACAAAAUCAACAAAAUCAAAAUCUUUCUGGAAACUGCAAAAAAAGACAGUUAUAGAAGCUGACAAGCAAAAUAGCCAUUCGUGCGUGAUCAAGACAAAUUACCACGGAAAAUUAAUUUUGAGCAUGUUUGUGUAUCUUGGAAGUGGAAGUAUUUUAAAUGUUACGGUAGCAUCCGGUGGGGGAAGCAUUUCUACAAUUUUUCAAAAUCACUCUCGGUGGACGAAACAUGAACUCACAUUUUGUUCCGAUGAACAAACAAAUGUUACUAUUGGCCGAAAAUUCGACAGUUCUUCUUCUAAUAAUCGGCGGUAUUGGGCUAUAGAUGAAAUUAAAUUUUUCACAGGCAGCGCCGGUUCCAUUGAUUACAGUAUAAGAAGAGAACCUAAAAACCCAGUCGUGCUGGAAGCCCCAGUACUGGAACACAUUUCUGAUAACUCCAUAACCAUACGUGUCAAGAGCUUUACGUACGCUCCCCUCCAGCCGAAGCAACGAAAAUGCAUAAUCCAGUACAAACAAGAAAACGAAGUCGAUUUUAAAAAUUUUAAAAUAUAUAAUAGCUCCAAAGACCUACUUUCCAAAUCGUUUGUGAUCCGAAGUGUUGAUACAAUAAAUUCCCGGUAUAAAAUACGAAUACUAUUAAUUAGCUCAUAUCGCUACUACUCAGAUCAAAGAAUACCUGAGCUGAUCACACCCAGAAAAUUACACUUCUCCCAAGUAACAAACAACAGCUUUAGAUUAAGAUGGUUUCCACAGAAAAACGAAAUAUUCCGAUAUCAGUUAUCGUGUACACAAUCGUUCUGCCAGCAUACUGAAACAAGUGUGCUUUCCGAUUCUGUCAAAGAACACUUAAAACCUUCAACAAACUGCACAAUAUUGGCCUACACUUUUGAAAGUAAGGCACGACAGUUUUAUGACGAAGUCAGUGUUACCACACUUGCAGCCACGACCAUUGACGACAAUGAAAUGCCUGAUAAUAUUACCUACGACCAGAAUAAAACAGUGAUUUCGUUCAAGGACUGCUCAAAAUUUAGUGGACCCAUAACUUACACUUUUAUGUAUGAGUGCGUCAGCGCUUGGUGCGAGAACAAUGAUGGUAAGAGUUUUACGUACCACAUGGAAGUUUACAAAAAAAAUAUUGAAAGGGAUAUAGCGUUACAAGCGUUUACAAAUUACAAUAUAACAGUAACAGCGGCAAGAAUAAAUGAUCAGUCAAAAAUAUACGAACUUCAAACUGCUCCAGACACACCCAAGGAAGUUCGAAACUUGACAAUUGACUGUCGGAGUAGUAGUACCGUCCGGUUACGAUGGUUACCACCGGACCCACCAACCGGUCAAGUGUCAAGAUACAUUAUCUCUCAAGGGAACUCAAAAAUACCACUAGAUAAUGACAACCGUGACACUUUCGUUUCUACAAACAUACUACUAGAAGCUAACGUAACUAAUAUUGAGGUUCGAGCCAAAAAUCGAAAUGUCGAAAAAUCGGGAGCCCCCAAGUCUGUUGAACUCUCCUCUGUGCCCCUGGUAAAAGACAUUCUGCAAAAUUUCACUGUAGUACCAUCUCCAAAAAUAUCAUUCAGGUGGCACCGCCUAAACAACCUCUCAAUUCAGGUCCAAAACGAAAUUCUACAAGAUUCCAACGGCGAAUUUAACAUUUCAGUUGGCAGAGAAGACAAAGUGAAGUUAGUCGUGUCGAGUGUAAACUGUCAAAGCGAACAAGUAACUAUUGAAGUGGAAACGAAGCCUCCAGAGUUUAAUUUGUCGGGGAACCCUAUUAUAAAAGUAUGGUCAGAAACAAACUAUGAGUUACACGUACCGACACCAGAUGGUGCUACAACCGAAAGCACAAAUUUUACUAUUUUAAUUAACCCUGACGAUGUGAACUCCAAAUGGACUGUACCAAACCUACAAGAACAAAAUGGUUACGUUAAAGCACAAAUCCCUCCUAAUGUAGCGGUUUUUCUGAAGAACCAAUCAUACGAAAUGUUUCUUCAAGAUGUCAAAAGUGGUGAACCCUAUCCUUUGCUUCUGCGACGUUCGAACACCGAAGAAGACUGGAGCUCCUUUCGAAAAGUCACUAGUUUAUGUUUAAUAAUAAUUAAUGCAGUCACUUUAACUUGCUUGGGAUAUCUUAUUCUGGCGUACAUCUAUGAAAAAUACCCGUUCAACUUAAAUAGGGAGGCACGUCACCGACAAGAAGGUUAUCAGAUGGCGACUUUAACGCACUUUCCGAACAUUAUAAAAGGCAGAGCUUGAAACAAGUUCGGAAGAAACUAGAUUAGAUCCAGGGUUUUUAUGAUUUUCUCCAUGUUUCGAAUAUUGUCCCAAGAGCUGUAUCAAAGGACAAAGGCUAUCCCUCCUGGGCCUCCAAAUGAUAUAAAUACGUAAUGACGACCUGGGGAACGCUAGACGAGAGACAAGUUUGAAUUGGGCGCCAUUUGUUGCCUUAAACGCAACCAGCAAUUCUUUAAUUUACCUGACGCGCUGGGAUAGACGACUACCAGACGUGGGUCAUAAAAGUAUCCUAAACCGAUAAUGCAGAGUAAUGAUAAUUUAUGACCGGCCCACAACAUACCUUCAGCACAGAAUAAUCAUUUCUCGUAUUCUUUUGACAUAUUAAUUUUAAUAUUCGAGAUAAUUAUUAUAUUAUUCAAACACAAUUUAGACACUGCAGAGCAAACAAGGCUUAUCAAGCCCGUCUAUUACUUUAUUCGCCUAAAUGUAUUAUUAAUACCGUUUUCAAAUUACACCAAAAAUUGAAAAAUCGGAAACUUAAUAAUUGAAAAAUUGAAACAUUUUAAAUGAAAAAAAUCGGUAAAUCGAGAAAUUGAACAAUCUAAAAAUUAAACAAUUUAUAAAUCGAAGAAUUGGAAAACCAAAAAAUCUAAACCGAGAACUUAAAAAAUCGAAUAAUCGAGAAAUCAAAACAUCAAGCAAAACAAAAAAAUUAACGGAAAAUCUAAAACUUAAAAAUUGAAAAAUUGAAAAACCGAGAAAUCGAAACAUCAAAAAAUGGAAAAAUUGAAGAACCGAAACAUUGCAAAAUCUCAAAACUGAAAUACUGAAAAACUGAAAAAUGGAAGGAAAAUUGAAAAAUCGAAAAAGUGAAAAAAUUCAAAACUGAAAUCUUGAAAAACUGAAAAAUGGAAAGAAAAUUGAAGAAUCGGAAAAGUGAAAAAAUCCAAAACUGAAACAUUGAAAAAUCCAGAAAUCGAAAAAUUGAAAAAUCACAAUUGAAGAAAGAAUUGAAAAAUCAAGCAAUAGAGAAAUGGGAAAAUCAAAAAAUCAGUUAAUCGAAAAAUUGAAAAAUCGAAAAAUUUAGAAACGUCAAAAAUUGAAAACUGAAAAAUAAAAAAAUUAAAAAUCGUAAAACUGAAAUAUCGUAAAGUUAAUAAAUUGAAAAACUGAAAAUUUUUGAAAAAAAAAUCGUAUCAAAAACUAAAAAUUCAAAAAAUCGAGAAAUCGAACAAUCAAAAAAUCAAAACAUUGAAAUCCCAGUAAGUUGAUAAAUAGGAAAAUUUAAAAAACAAAAAUUUUAAACAUCCAAGAAUUGAACAACAAAAAAAAUCUAAGCCUGAAAACUCAGAAAAUUGAAUGAUCGAAAACAAAAAAUCUAAAAUUUAAAAAUCAUGGAACUGAAAAAUCGAAAAGUCGAGAUAGUGAGAAAUCUAAAAACCUAAAACUUUAAAAACUGAAAAAUUAGAAUAUCGAAACAUUUAAAAACCGAGAAAACACAAUAUCAAAAAUUUGAAAAAUUGAAGAAACGAAAUAUUGCAAAAUUCCAAAGCUGAAAUAUUGAAAAACCUAAAAAUGGAAGGAAAAUUAAAGAAUCGAAACAGUGAAAAAAUCCCAAACUGAAACAUUGAAAAAUUGAGAAAUGGAAAAACGGAAAAAUCAAAAAAAUUGGUCUAAAGAGUUUAGACAGCACUUCCCUCGCUAUCGGAAACGUGACGACUGCAUGCCUAUUAUGUUUUUUUUUCACAUUAGAUUUCAAAGCAUUUGGUUUUGUAGUUCCUGAUUAAAUCAAUAAAAUAAAUUUGCGCAUUCAUUAAA